rnacentral:rRNA from 1 species
AUUGAACGCUGGCGGCAUGCCUUACACAUGCAAGUCGAACGGUAACAGGUUAAGCUGACGAGUGGCGAACGGGUGAGUAAUAUAUCGGAACGUGCCCAGUCGUGGGGGAUAACGUAGCGAAAGCUACGCUAAUACCGCAUACGAUCUACGGAUGAAAGCGGGGGAUCGCAAGACCUCGCGCGAUUGGAGCGGCCGAUUUCAGAUUAGGUUGUUGGUGAGGUAAAAGCUCACCAAGCCUGCGAUCUGUAGCUGGUCUGAGAGGACGACCAGCCACACUGGAACUGAGACACGGUCCAGACUCCUACGGGAGGCAGCAGUGGGGAAUUUUGGUCAAUGGACGCAAGUCUGAUCCAGCAAUGCCGCGUGCAGGACGAAGGCCUUCGGGUUGUAAACUGCUUUUGUACGGAACGAAACGGUGAGCUCUAAUACAGUUUGCUAAUGACGGUACCGUAAGAAUAAGCACCGGCUAACUACGUGCCAGCCGCCGCCGUAA